rnacentral:rRNA from 2 species
AUGAACGCUGGCGGCGCAUUUAAGACAUGCAAGUCGAACGAAAAUUUACGCUUAAAGAGUUGAUUAGUUUACUAAGAGAUGAUUUAUUGUAAAUUUUAGUGGCGGACUGGUGAGUAAUACAUAGGUAAUCUGCCUUUUAGAGGGGAAUAACUAGGAGAAAUCCUAGCUAAUACCGCGUAAGACCACACUUAGGCAUCUAAGAGAGGUCAAAGGAGUAAUCCGCUAAAAGAUGAGCCUGUGGCUGAUUAGUUAGUUGGUGGGGUAAGAGCCUACCAAGACGAUGAUCAGUAGCCGAGCUGAGAGGCUGGCCGGCCACAUUGGGACUGAGAUACGGCCCAGACUCCUACGGGAGGCAGCAGUUGGGAAUAUUGGACAAUGGAGGAAACUCUGAUCCAGUGACGCCGCGUGAAGGAAGAAGGUCUUCGGAUUGUAAACUUAUUUUAUCAGGGAAGAAGAAAGUGACAGUACCUGAAGAAAAAGGACCGGCAAACUACGUGCCAGCAGCCGCGGUAAUACGUAGGGUCCAAGCGUUAUCCGGAUUUACUGGGUGUAAAGGGCGAGUAGACGGCGCUGUAAGUCAGCUGUGAAAACUUAGGGCUCAACCUUAAGCCUGCAGCUGAAACUGUAGUGCUAGAGUGCAGGAGAGGUAAGCGGAAUUCCUAGUGUAGCGGUGAAAUGCGUAGAUAUUAGGAGGAACACCAGUGGCGAAGGCGGCUUACUGGACUGUAACUGACGUUGAGGCGCGAAAGUGUGGGGAGCAAACAGGAUUAGAUACCCUGGUAGUCCACACCGUAAACGAUGGAUACUAGGUGUAGGCGAGAUAUCGUCUGUGCCGGCGCAAACCCAAUAAGUA